rnacentral:rRNA from 1 species
UGGUGGAGUGAUUUGUCUGGUUAAUUCCGUUAACGAACGAGACUUUGACCUGCUAAAUAGUCGAUGUAGAGAUUCUACAUUGAGCUUCUUAGAGGGACUUUGCGUGUAUAACGCAAGGAAGUUCAAAGCAAUAACA